UAGCAAUAGGUUGAUGGCGACCGGCGGACGGGUGAGUAACGCGUGAGCAAUCUACCUUUCAGAGGGGGACAACAGUUGGAAACGACUGCUAAUACCGCAUAACGUAUCUUUGCGGCAUCGUAGAGAUACCAAAGAUUUAUCGCUGAUAGAUGGGCUCGCGUCCGAUUAGAUAGUUGGUGAGGUAACGGCUCACCAAGUCGACGAUCGGUAGCCGGUCUGAGAGGAUGAACGGCCACAUUGGGACUGAGACACGGCCCAGACUCC
rnacentral:rRNA from 1 species